GGCGCCAUAGCCAAGUGGUUACGGCGACAGAUUAGAAUCUCCGGAACCAGCUUUACUUCAUCUGUUUCCCUUUGGGAGCGCAAGUUCGAGUCUUGCUGGCGUCG